rnacentral:tRNA from 1 species
GCCCCAGUGGCGCAAUGGAUAGCGCGUCGGACUUCUAAUCCGGAGGUUGAGGGUUCGAGUCCUUCCUGGGGUA